rfam:Gasterosteus aculeatus cont1.015191, whole genome shotgun sequence.
GUUGUUGUGGCCGAGAGGUUAAGGCGAUGGACUUGAAAUCCAUUGGGGUCUCCCCGCGCAGGUUCGAGUGCUGCCAGCAACG